rnacentral:rRNA from 1 species
AGCGAACGCUGGCGGCAGGCUUAACACAUGCAAGUCGAGCGGGCAUAGCAAUAUGUCAGCGGCAGACGGGUGAGUAACGCGUGGGAACGUACCUUUUGGUUCGGAACAACUGAGGGAAGCUUCAGCUAAUACCGGAUAAGCCCUUACGGGGAAAGAUUUAUCGCCGAAAGAUCGGCCCGCGUCCGAUUAGCUAGUUGGUGAGGUAAUGGCUCACCAAGGCGACGAUCAGUAGCUGGUCUGAGAGGAUGAUCAGCCACAUUGGGACUGAGACACGGCCCAAACUCCUACGGGAGGCAGCAGUGGGGAAUAUUGGACAAUGGGCGCAAGCCUGAUCCAGCCAUGCCGCGUGAGUGAUGAAGGCCCUAGGGUUGUAAAGCUCUUUUGUGCGGGAAGAUAAUGACGGUACCGCAAGAAUAAGCCCCGGCUAACUUCGUGCCAGCAGCCGCCGUAA